GAAGUGGUAGCUCAGUGGUUAAAAUGUUGGACUUCUGGUCAGAAGGCCAUGAGUUCACAUCCCAGCACUUUCA